AUAUCAAUAAGCGGAGGAAAAGAAACCAACAGGGAUUGCCUCAGUAACGGCGAGUGAAGCGGCAAAAGCUCAAAUUUGAAACCGUUCGCGGGUUGUAAUUUGAAGAUUGUGUUCUGGCGGUGCCCACACCUAUGUUCCUUGGAACAGGACGUCACAGAGGGUGAGAAUCCCGUGCGGCGUGGUCCCCACCGCCUUAUAGAACGCUCUCGACGAGUCGAGUUGUUUGGGAAUGCAGCUCCAAGUGGGUGGUAAAUUCCAUCUAAAGCUAAAUACUGGCGAGAGACCGAUAGCGAACAAGUACCGUGAGGGAAAGAUGAAAAGCACUUUGAAAAGAGAGUGAAACAGUACGUGAAAUUGUUGAAAGGGAAGGGUAUGGUGUUAGCGAGUUAGUAUGGGUUGGGAGGGAAGGACAACAGCGCAGGAACGUGGCCCUCGGGUGUUAUAGCCUGCGUCAAUACUUCUCCCUCGACCGAGGCCUGCUUUCAGGAUACUAACAUAAUAACACCACACCG
rnacentral:rRNA from 1 species